AUGUCGUCCCAGGAUUCAGAAGGAGAAAGCUAUGUGGCUGAUUUCCUUGCAGAUCCUAAGGUCUAUGGCGAUGUUGAGCAUUGUGGUUGGACUACGGAAGAAGAAGAGGACUACGAACCCAAGGGAAAGGAGGAGACGAGCUCAGAUGAAUAUGAAGUCCCAUUACCUCAACCAGGGGACAUGCAUGUGGAGUUCAAAAAGUCAAGCCUCCCUGAUAGAGCAAAGAAACCUAAGAUUGAGUUUAUCCCUUUUCGCCUCUUGCAGGAAAACAAACAUGAAUUAUGCAAGAAGAUAUUAAGCCUUGAGCAGGAGAUCGAUGACCUAAGGGAUCAAAAUUCUGUCCUCAAGCACAAAUUAAGGAAGAAGCCUACGCCAUCAACAAAACCAUCAUCUUCUUCACCACCACCGAGGAAGGAGACACAAACAUAUGGGUAUGGGCACUCCCCCAAGCUGUUGCCAAGGGGAGUGCCCCGGUAUCGUAUCACCAUCACAUCCUUUAUCUUUUCCAUUUUUCCUAGUUCGAUCCUUUUGGUAAUAUCUUGA
rnacentral:rRNA from 1 species